CCGCACGGUUGUUUUUCCACGUCCAUGGCCGGUGGGCUCGUCCGAACUUUCUAUUGGCUGGGUGAACUCCUGGCGGGUGCGAACAAGCGUAUCCUCGCGCGUCGCGCGGCUUCCUCUGCCCCAAACCCUACACCCCACCCCAAUCCCUCCAGCCGCCACUGCCCCACCCAUGUUUCUCCUCGCGCGCUCGCCCCAGACCAGCCGCCGCCGCGCCGCUGGGGCUCGUCCGCCACGGGUUUCCAUGGGGAAGGAGCAGCGACGGGGUAGGCUCCAGGCGGCACACACUUCAUGGGGAGGCAAGGAACCAGAAGGUGAUGGGGUCGGAUCUGGCGGUGGUAGGUCGAAGCUCGAUCCCGAGGCCUAGACGGGGAAGGUUAAAAAAUAGAGAGACCGGAUGGAGGUGGUCGAGGCGGAGGACCGCCAGCCGGUGAGCUCGAGCUUGAGACGGUGAGAUCCCUUUCCCCAUCUCUAUUCUCUCAGUUUCUUCCUCUCCAAAUCUUCAUUUAUCGCCUCUCGCCCUUAGCACAAUUAGCGUCACCGGCCAUUGUAUGGGUUGGAGCACGAGGCAGCGCUCCCGUCACUACGUGGUGGAGCUGCGUAGGAUGGGGAGCAGGCUGGCAACAGGGAUUGGUUCUUCAGUUCAUUUGCUGCAGGACAGAAUGUUCUAUGGGUUGGAGCAGAGGGUGUUGAGCAACAUCUGAGAUUGGGUGAGUGCUCAGGUUCUAUAACUGACUUUUCUUCAAGUAUGGCUGUAGUAAUUCAAAGAAAAACAAAUAGCAUGCAGAUUUGCUUGUUUCAUCUAAAUCAAGGAAUUUUAUAAUGUGCAAAUCAACACUAUAUAGUAUACAACAGCGAACGGAGAUACUAACCACACGAUCUCAUUACGUGUUGCACGCGAGAUCGCAGGGUGCAGCUUGGUAGCGCCGGCAUGGAUGCGUGUUAACCAUAGCGUUGAAGGCAAUCUUCCCCCUCCCGAAAUGCCCUAGGCGCAGCAGCGAUGGCGCAGCCAUGAUUGCUGGAAGUCUCCUCCAUGUUCGAUCUCGAUAAACUGACUGUCGUUCCCCACGCCACUCUCGCAUGAUUCAAUGGAACUUAAAUUUUGAGUGCUACAAUCAACCCGUUUGCCUGUUUGCACAUCUGUAUUUCGGUUAUAAAAAUUGACUCAUUCUUUAGUUCGUUAUUACUCAGGUCACCGCAGCACUGACCUUCUAUUAGGUAUACACACACCAAAAUUUCCAUGCCACUAGAAAUAUUUGCAUUCUUUUAAUGGGUCGAGUCACACAGAAGGUUGAACUUUCAAUGCUUUUUACUCAGCAUAGACGUAUUUUCUGUAGUCGAAGACUUUUGACAAUGUGUGGAAUCUGGCAAAUCAUUUUCAGUUUUGAGUUCAUCUGAGUCAGGCUCUGUAUCAAAUUGUCUUCAGUGUAGCAUUCACUUGAGUUGGAUUUUGUAUUGGUUUAUAUUUUGUGGUAGAAUAUCCCAUAUUGUGUACUCUGGGACCAGGUCUAUUUCAACACACACGAACCCAUUGACCUCCCAUGUUCCUGGGGAGCGUUGCAUGUCGGAAAAGUUAGGGGUUGCGUCACACAAAGUUCUGCAUUGACACUUGGAAAGUAAGUGAAGUGAUAUGCCAUUUGCUGAGGCUAUCUACAAUCCUGUUAAAAGGCAACUGCUAAACACUGAAGGGCAAUGGAAUUCAAUUUGUAGAUAUUCGCAGUUUGAUAAAUUAUAUUAGUGGUAUUUCUUGUAUUUAUAUAAGGAAAACAAAAAUAGCUACCUUUGUGUGAAUUACAGUGCUAAUGAUCAGUUCUUUGUCUCAGGCAUGAAUGUACAGAUUCAAGAUUUCCUUUCACCUAGGCUUGGUCAGUUGGCCACUUCAAUUCCCACUUCUUGUCAUGUGAUCUUGAUGUGGAUACUUCGACAUUACAUACAAAAUAUGACGCAUUCUGUAGAAGUUACUAAUGGUCAAAAUUUUACUGAAUCCGUCACUUGCUUACUCCUAUUCACAUUUCAGCCUCCUUGCAUGGUAGAGCAUAACAUGGUUCCUGAUGUUCCAUUCUAACUACCUAAUAAUUUUAGGACACUGGUGUUGGUUUUUGGGGAAAUGGAAUGCCUAAGAUGCACUGUCCUUUUGUUCCAAAAAUAACCGCAAAAUCAUUGACACAUUGUUGUGUGGUUUAUGACAUCUGUUGUUUAUAUCUUCGAGUGACUAACUUCAAGUUGAAGUCGAGAUUGCUUACUGAUCACAUGCUUUAGGCAGUAGUAAUUACAAUCUUUAUCUCUGUUUGAGAAGCAAAGAUGAAUUAUUUUGAACUUCGGAUUAGUUGAGUUAGGAGCUAUAUGUACCAGUUUUGUUUGAUCAACCACGAGUUCUAUUGUAAUCCUUUUUGAUACAUUUUUUAGAUUUUUGUAUCCAGCUGAAUCUUCGUGUUCCGCCGUGGCCGUGAUAUCUCAUGCGUUAUCAUGCAGCUGAAUCUUUAUUUACAAUGUCGUAAUAUCUCAUGCGUUAUCAUUCAUUCAUUCUUAUUUUAGGUGAUGCGUUGACCUGAACGGCAUGGUGGUAAGGCAUCAUAAUAGGUGCUACUAUUGGCUAGAAUGGCGCCGUGGUAAGGCAUUCUAAGGUUCCAUAUGAUUAGUGUUUGGGUGACUGUUGUUGAUUCCUACACCGAGUUGUGUUGCUGUACAAAUAGCCUCUCUUGUUGGUGGUGCCACGGUGUCCCUUCCAGGUUUAGCAGCGGGCAAUGCUUAAGACAGAGUUGGGUGCACAUCAUAUAUAUACAUAUGUUGUCGCGUCUUAAUAAAGGGAGAUGAGCAGAAGUAGAGAUGAGAUAUCUAUCUGACUGUCAUCCUUCCAAGACUUGGGUUUGUCAUCUCUGUCAGCGUCCGCUUUUGCUUCCUUCGUUGGUUGUCGCUUCUUUGUACACUGCUGUAGUUUAGAGAUUGUAAUAUAUUUUCCAUGGAUACAAUUGAAUAUGACACCCAAUUUGCUAUAUAAUUGUCCAGCUCUCUCUCAUAGCGAUUCAUACAAAAUAUCAUGCAUAAUGGUCCCAGUUUAAGUAGAAUAUAACCAUUGGAUUAUUCAAACUUUGCUCGUGUGUCACAGGGCACCAUAACUUUAAUCCGACAUGAGCAGUGCAACCACGACAGUGAGCAGUGGAAUCACAAGAUAGAGAUAGACACAAGUAGAAUAUAACUGGUCAUAUUUCUACAAUGACCACACUACUUAUGGUGCCGGAAGAGAAGGCAUCAGUGAUAGUGGGCUUGGUGAUGAGGGCAUCAAUACAAAGAUAUUAAUUCACAACUCUGUUCUUGAUAGGUUGUACCAAAUAUAUAAGGUUACUGUUUCCUUUUAUGUUUAAAUAGCUUUGUGAGUACAAUUAUAUGAAAAUUCUGUGAUUCAUGGUGCGGAAGCAGGCAUCUUUGUUUUCUUGAGUGAAAAUACUUAGUUUCAUGCCUCCAUAGUAUUAUUUAGAGGCACAAUCCAAUGAUAGAUUCCUACUUAUAGCUAGCUAAUAUAUAGCGUUUGAUGGUACUGUAUGAUGUUGUAAAUACAAAAUAUGCUGCAUGAGCAUUACUUUUAUUUUGAAUUUAAUUUAGUGUUUGAGCCUCUUUUACAUAUUAAGUGUAAUAUCACAGACUUCUUUCAGAGUUAACUGGCCAUGCAAAAACUGUUGUGAAGGCAUUAAAUGGUACUCCCUCCGUCCCAAAAUAAGUGUCUCAACUUUGUACUAGCUUCAGUUUAAAGUUGUACUAAGGUUGAAACACUUAUUUUGGGAUGGAGGGAGUAUAUGUUUUAGGCCUGCUUUUGUUCACUUUUGUCCUUUCCAAAGUGGAAUAAGAAAAAGAAAGUCAAAAUAGGCUCAACCAUGACUACUCUGCUCUUGUGUGCACCAUUAUAUUUUUUUAGACCUGAACCAUUUGAUUGAGGAGAGGUGUGUCAAAUAAACUCCCCUAUUCAAACCUGAAUCCAAACACAUGUGGUCUCCUUUUGAAAGUGAUUAUAUCUGUCAUGCUCUUCAAUACCAAUGUGGACAUAUCGCCACUAAUUUUCCACCAUCAAGUUAGCCUACCUGCACAUCAUGCAAGGCUCAUGGCUCAGUGUUACAAUAGCUAUGUUGUUUCUCCCACAUCAACCAUGCGGUCGUUACUAAAGCUUAGUUGUUGAAUCUGUACGUGCUCCAUUGCGCACAAGAAAGUAGUGACUAUUUAUUUGCUUAAACAAUAUGUCGAGCCACCAAUUUUUGCCCGUCCUGCUAAUAUUCCUUUAUGGAUGUAUCGCACAAAUUUCAGUUAUUGGAUAUGAAAUGUAGGUUCUCUAUUCAGAGCUGGGUCCAACGAUAUGUAGUCCCCUUUUCCAAGCUAAUGUAGGUUCUCAUGUCUGUCAUAUCCAUAUGUAUUAUGGUGUCUCAGUUUUGUCACCAGCCUCUUUCACCGACCCGUAAACUAUCUGUCUCUAGGUCUCCCCAACUGUCUUUGGGUUUAGAAAACAAAUAACUAUUUUUGGACUUAUUCUCGCACCGGCUACUUUGUAGGUAUUAUGUGUGUUGUUAGGGAUCUGAUAUCGUGUAGUUCCAGGGAUUUCAGAAGGUCUGGUCGGUCCAUUGUUCUUGCCAUGUGUUACUUUUUCUCAUUACUAUGAUCGUCAGUGCUCUUGACAUCGGUUGUUCUUGCUUUAUGGUUGCCUUUUCAAUGCACUUUUAUUAGUUCUAAUAUAUUAAUUUUAAUAUGCUUGACUAACCAUAUUAUAUAUUUCACGUCAACGGGGUGGUUCAAGUGUUGGUCAAAAUAUUUUGGUUAAAAACAUUGUCUCUAAUUAUCAAGUGUAUAUAGUUGAAUCUUCUUGAUUGACUAUUUUGUAUCCUGCUCUUAGUUGCACAAUAUUAAUUCUUAAAACUGGAGCUCUUAAAAUUAGUUAAAUUUGAUGAGUUGUUUCACUGUUUUCAAAUAAGUAGUUUCAGCCCUCACUGUGUCCUGAAGCUUAUUCUUACUGCCUUUUUAUGAUUGCUUUAUGCUUUACCAAGCUUAAAUGUAACUAUUGGCAUAUAAUCUCAUGGCUUAAAAUCUUAGUUGAAAAUGUAUUAAAAGUUAUAAGAUCUGGAGUGUGCACUAUAUUUCAUCCAAUGGUAUUCCCAGUAAGUGAAUGUUAAGAGCACAGACGAUCACAUGUUGUACAUUCAAUUACUGGGAAAUGCUUUUAUCUUGCAGGCCAGUUUUACAUUUACUUUUUCAAUAAUGAGAUGACCAUGAACAGAGAUCAAGUUUUUUGCCUUGGCAUUACUACUGUUGUGUACAGAUGGUUACUAAAAGAAGGAUUCAUAGUGGCAUACCUUCACUCGACAGAUGCUUUAACUGCAAGAACUGUUGUUAAUUUUUUCCCUUUCCUCCAAUGAUGGUAGUUCUCCUUUGAUUCUAGAAGCCACAAAGGAGUGAAGGGUAGAGAUUUCCAUCGUUGUUGAAUUGGUGGGAUUGUCACCAAGUUAGUGUUGCAGAUUGUUUCUAUUUUAGAGCAAGAGGCCAAAUCAUGUUGUUCAUUGUAAAUUUUGAAAAACUUGUUGUGUAUUGUCACUUCUAUAUCUAUUAUAAACUUACAUUCCUGGUG